rnacentral:rRNA from 1 species
UACGUAGGGUGCGAGCGUUAAUCGGAAUUACUGGGCGUAAAGCGUGCGCAGGCGGCUAUUUAAGCUUGCUGUGAAAGCCCCGGGCUUAACCUGGGAACUGCAGUGAGGACUGGAUGGCUGGAGUGUGGCAGAGGGGGGUGGAAUUCCACGUGUAGCAGUGAAAUGCGUAGAGAUGUGGAGGAACACCGGUGGCGAAGGCGGCAUCCUGGACCGGUAUUGACGCUGAGGCGCGAAAGCUAGGGGAGCAAACGGG